AUGCUCUAAUCAAGAAAAGGUCAGACUAAGAAAAGAAAGGUAGCAAAUUAAAAGUAUAUUUCAAGAUGAGGAUGGAGCUAUGCAGAGGACCAACCACAUUUGCAUGGACAAACACUAUAUCCUCUACUACUACUCUUCAAGUCCCUCAGACUCUCUUUGCAGGUGGGUCUAAAAGAAUUACAGUUUGGUGUGUGAAUGGAAGCAUUGACUCUGCUUCCUCUUCCAAGGAAAGUAAGAUGAUUGUAUCAGUCACUGGAGCUACUGGCUUUGUUGGGAAAAGAUUGGUGCAAAGAUUGCAUGCAGAUAAGCAUCAGAUUCGAGUGUUGACAAGGUCAAGAUCCAAAGCACAAUCAAUAUUUCCGGUUAAAGAGUUUCCAGGAAUUGUAAUUGCCGAGGAACCAGAGUGGAGAAACUGCAUUGAAGGUUCAACAGCUGUUGUAAAUUUGGCUGGAACGCCUAUUAGUACUAGAUGGUCCCCUGAGAUCAAGAAGGAUAUCAAGCAAAGCAGGAUUAGAGUAACCUCCAAGGUUGUAGAAUUAAUCAAUAAUUCACAGGAUGAUGCCCGUCCUAAAGUUUUAAUAAGUGCAACAGCAGUUGGUUAUUAUGGAACCAGUGAGACUCGAGUGUUUGAUGAGCAGAGUCCGUCAGGAAAUGACUACUUGGCUGAGGUUUGUAGAGAAUGGGAGGCAGCUGCCCUCAAAGUCAAUGACAAUGUCAGGCUUACUCUAAUUCGUAUUGGCGUUGUCCUCGGAAAAGAUGGUGGUGCUUUAGCUAAAAUGCUUCCUAUCUUCAUGAUGUUUGCCGGGGGACCUUUGGGCUCUGGAAACCAAUGGUUUUCUUGGAUUCAUCUGGACGACCUUGUGGAUUUGAUAUAUGAAGCUUUAUCCAAUCCAUCCUAUAAAGUAUAUCUUCGAGGUAGGGGUAAGAUCUGCGUACACUAUACCCUCCCCAGACCCCACGUGUGGGAUUACACUGGGGGUGAUAAAUGGAACUGCACCGAAUCCUAUAAGGAUGGGAGAAAUGUGUGAACAACUGGGAUCCGUUUUAGGGAGACCUUCCUGGUUACCAGUACCAGAAAUUGCACUGAAAGCUGUCCUAGGAGAAGGUGCAGCAGUGGUGUUGGACGGGCAGAAGGUGGUUCCAACAAAAGCCAAGGAGUUGGGGUUUUCAUUCAAAUACAGAUAUGUCAAAGACGCUCUGAAAGCAAUCAUGUCAUAACACCAUCAACCCAUAUUCUAUAUAGAGUAUAUAUCUUUGAGUUUCAACUCCAUAUGGUCCAAAAGAGUUUCGAGUUAAUCAUUUCAAUUGCAUGGGAAAGGAAAGAACACACAAAUAACUUCUUCUUGUCUGGGCAUAUCUGUUUUUUUCCCCCUUUAGUUUUGAUCAGCCAAAAUGCAAUUCAUAAACAUCAAGUAUGUACACCUUCAUAUCACACUCACAGACUAGCAUAUUCCUAGUUUACACUACAAUGGCCCCUUAUUUUGGUGGUCCUUUUCUUGA